CUACACUAAUCUUAACACUCUUUCCCUACACGACGCUCUUCCGAUCUAAAACAACUUUCACGACUUUAAUAGCUAACGAUGAAUGUAUCAAUGCUGUUAAUGUACCCGUAAAUACUACUACAACUUGUUCUUUAGUUACACCGGGAAGUGUUUUAGGGGCAACCGCUUCUACCCAAGCCAAUACUUGUGGCGGAACAGACGACGAUGAUGUUUGGUUUAAAUUUACUGCUACCAGCUCACUUCAUACUAUUUCAUUACUCAAUAUUACAGGAAGUACAAUCGACUUAUAUCAUGUGCUAUACAGUGGUAGUUGUGGUACAUUAACUCAAUUGUAUUGUAGUGAUAAUGAAAACAGUACCGCCAGUAAUCUAACCAUUGGACAAGUUUACUACAUUAGAGUAUACACAUACAGUGGAACAGGUAAUCAAACCACAACUUUUAGUGUUUGCAUCGGAACACCAAUUCCGCCACCAAACUGUAUCAACAACCAACCGGCAGGAAACACUUGUCAAACUGCCACGCCGAUUUGUAACCUAUCGUGACUGGGAAACAGCUCCAUCGUCGAGAGGGCAACAGUCCAGAUCGCCGGCUAAGGUGCCUAAACGUCGUUAAGUGGAAAGGAUGUGAAGUUACUUAGACAGUGAGGAUGUUGGCUUAGAGGCAGCCAUCAUUUAAACAGUGCGUAAUAGCUGACUCAUCGAGUGAUUUCGCGCCGAAAAUGAUUGGCGAUAAAUAACGUACCGAAGCCGCGGAUAGCAAGUUGGUUCGCCAGCUUGUUGUGGUAGGAGAGCGUGAACGGUGCAGUGAAGCAGAACCGAAAGGGGACGUGGAGCGCCGUUCAGUGAGAAUGCAGACACGAGUAGCGAUAAACCAGAUGAGAAUUCUGGUCGCCGUAAACCCAAGGUUUCCUGGGCCAGGUUCGUCCUCCCAGGGUCAGUCGGGAGCUAAGAUGAGGUCGUAAGACGUAAUCGAUGCACAGCUGGUCAACAUUCCAGCACCGAUGUGGUUCAAACCGUCAGUGACGCAAGGAGAAAAGUGGCAGGGUCAUUGAAAGACCCAGCUUAGGAGCAAUCCGAAGCAAGUCACCGGACAACUUGUCUAGAAAAGCUGGCGGCCCUUUACCACAUUGCCCGUACCGCAAACCGACACAGGUGGGUGGGUGUAAAUGCACCAAGGCGCGCGAGAGAGACCUCUCUAAGGAACUCGGCACAUUAGCCCCGUAACUUCGGGAAAAGGGGUGCUCGCUUCGGCGAGCCACAGUAAAUUGCGUUUAGCGACUGUUUAACAAAAACACAGCACUCUGCCACGUCGUUAAGACAACGUAUAGGGUGUGACAAGUGACCAAUGCGGAAAGAUCAAGGCAAGUUGUUAGCCGCAAGGCGAAGCUCCGAACCUAAGUCCCCGUGAAUGUCGGCCGUAACUAUAACGGUCCUAAGGUAGCGAAAUUCCUUGUCGGGUAAGUUCCGACCUGCACGAAUCUUGUAACGACUGAACGACUGUCUCGGAGAGGAACUCGGCGAAACUGUAACUGCGGUGAAGAUGCCGCAUGCCCGCAGUAGGACGGAAAGACCCUAUGCACCUUUACUGUAAGCUCGUAUUGGCUUCUGAUUGAUGAUGCUUAGCGUAGGUGGGAAAU
rnacentral:rRNA from 1 species